AGUGAACGCUGGCGGUAGGCCUAACACAUGCAAGUCGAACGGCAGCACAGUAAGAGCUUGCUCUUACGGGUGGCGAGUGGCGGACGGGUGAGGAAUACAUCGGAAUCUACUUUUUCGUGGGGGAUAACGUAGGGAAACUUACGCUAAUACCGCAUACGACCUACUGGUGAAAGCAGGGGAUCUUCGGACCUUGCGCGAUUGAAUGAGCCGAUGUCGGAUUAGCUAGUUGGCGGGGUAAAGGCCCACCAAGGCGACGAUCCGUAGCUGGUCUGAGAGGAUGAACAGCCAGAUUGGAACUGAGACACGGUCCAGACUCUUACAGGAGGCAGCAGUGGGGAAUAUUGGACGAUGGGCGCAAGCCUGAUCCAGCCAUACCGCGUGGGUGAAGAAGGCCUUCGGGUUGUAAAGCCCUGUUGUUGGGAAAGAAAAGCAGCAGGUUAAUACCCCGCUGUUCUGACGGUACCCAAAGAAUAAGCACCGGCUAACUUCGUG
rnacentral:rRNA from 1 species